rnacentral:rRNA from 1 species
UACGGGGGGGGUAAGCGUUGUUCGGAAUUACUGGGCGUAAAGGGCUCGUAGGCGGCCAACUAAGUCAGACGUGAAAUCCCUCAGCUUAACUGGGGAACUGCGUCUGAUACUGGAUGGCUUGGAUUUGGGAGAGGGAUGCGGAAUUCCAGGUGUAGCGGUGAAAUGCGUAGAUAUCUGGAGGAACACCGGUGGCGAAGGCGGCAUCCUGGACCAAUAUUGACGCUGAGGAGCGAAAGCCAGGGGAGCAAACAGG